rnacentral:rRNA from 1 species
UACGUAGGUGACAAGCGUUGUCCGGAUUUACUGGGCGUAAAGAGCGCGCAGGCGGUCGUUCAAGUCGAGUGUGAAAGCCCCCGGCUCAACUGGGGAGGGUCAUUCGAUACUGAUCGACUCGAAGGCAGGAGAGGGUAGUGGAAUUCCCGGUGUAGUGGUGAAAUGCGUAGAUAUCGGGAGGAACACCAGUGGCGAAGGCGACUACCUGGCCUGUUCUUGACGCUGAGGCGCGAAAGCGCGGGGAGCGAACGGG